rnacentral:rRNA from 1 species
AACGAACGCUGGCGGCAGGCCUAACACAUGCAAGUCGAGCGCGCCUUCGGGUUUGCGGCGGACGGGUGAGUAACGCGUGGGAAUAUGCCCUUCUCUACGGAAUAGUCCUGGGAAACUGGGGGUAAUACCGUAUACGCCCUUUGGGGGAAAGAUUUAUCGGGGAAGGAUUAGCCCGCGUUGGAUUAGGUAGUUGGUGGGGUAAUGGCCUACCAAGCCGACGAUCCAUAGCUGGUUUGAGAGGAUGAUCAGCCACACUGGGACUGAGACACGGCCCAGACUCCUACGGGAGGCAGCAGUGGGGGAUCUUAGACAAUGGGGGCAACCCUGAUCUAGCCAUGCCGCGUGAGUGAUGAAGGCCUUAGGGUUGUAAAGCUCUUUCAGCUGGGAAGAUAAUGACGGUACCAGCAGAAGAAGCCCCGGCUAACUCCGUG